UCUGGUAGCCUAAGUGGUUAGCGCGUUUGCCUCGGAUGCGAGAAGUCGCCGGUUCGAAACCCAGCCGAGUCAU